rnacentral:rRNA from 1 species
UACGUAGGGUGCAAGCGUUGUCCGGAAUUAUUGGGCGUAAGAGCUCGUAGGCGGUCUGUCGCGUCGGCUGUGAAAACUCGGGGCUCAACCCCGAGCUUGCAGUCGAUACGGGCAGGCUAGAGUUCGGCAGGGGAGACUGGAAUUCCUGGUGUAGCGGUGAAAUGCGCAGAUAUCAGGAGGAAUACCGGUGGCGAAGGCGGGUCUCUGGGCCGAUACUGACGCUGAGGAGCGAAAGCGUGGGGAGCGAACAGG